rnacentral:rRNA from 1 species
CCUACGGGUGGCAGCAGUGGGGAAUAUUGCACAAUGGGGGAAACCCUGAUGCAGCGACGCCGCGUGAGUGAAGAAGUAAUUCGUUAUGUAAAGCUCUAUCAGCAGGGAAGAAAAUGACGGUACCUGAGUAAGAAGCCCCGGCUAACUACGUGCCAGCAGCCGCGGUAAUACGUAGGGGGCAAGCGUUAUCCGGAUUUACUGGGUGGAAAGGGAGCGUAGACGGCAGUGCAAGUCUGGAGGGGAAGGCGGGGGCUCAACCCCCGGACUGCUCUGGAAACUGUACGGCUGGAGUGCAGGAGAGGUAAGUGGAAUUCCUGGUGUAGCGGUGAAAUGCGUAGAUAUUAGGAGGAACACCAGUGGCGAAGGCGGCUUACUGGACUGUAACUGACGUUGAGGCUCGAAAGCGUGGGGAGCAAUCAGGAUUAGAUACCCGAGUAGUC